rnacentral:rRNA from 1 species
CUACGGGGUGCAGCAGUCGAGAAUCUUUUGCAAUGCACGCAAGUGUGACAAAGUGAGCCAGAGUGCUUUUCAAUAUGAAAAGCUUUUGCUAAAUGUAAAAAGUUUGGCGAAUAAGGACUGGGUAAGACUAGUGCCAGCCGCCGCGGUAAUACUAGCGGUCCAAGUCGCAGCCAUUAUUAUUAGGUCUAAAACAUCCGUAGCUUGCUUUAUAAGUUUCUUGUGAAAUCCUAUAUCUCAAAUAUAGAACGCGCAAGAAGUACUGUUUAGCUAGAGACUGGAAGACGUAAGAAGUACGUUCGAAGUAGUGGUAAAAUAUGUUAAUCUCGGACGGACUCACAAUAGCGAAGGCAUCUUACGAGGACAGUUCUGACAGUAAGGGAUGAAGGCUAGGGGCGCAAAACGGAUUAGAUACCCGGGUAGUC